rnacentral:rRNA from 1 species
UACGUAGGUGGCAAGCGUUGUUCGGAAUUAUUGGGCGUAAAGAGCUCGUAGGUGGUUCGGUAAGUCAGGUGUGAAACCUCCAGGCUCAACCUGGAGACGCCACUUGAUACUGCUGUGACUGGAGUCCGGUAGGGGAGCGUGGAAUUCCUGGUGUAGCGGUGAAAUGCGCAGAUAUCAGGAGGAACACCGGUGGCGAAGGCGGGUCUCUGGGCCGAUACUGACGCUGAGGAGCGAAAGCGUGGGGAGCGAACAGG